AACAAUACAUUACUUUAGAAAUACAUGUACAUAUGAUAAGAUUAUUAAAAAGAAAGACCAGGAACCCUAAUAAUACAAUUCAGCAUAGCAGUUAUUUCUAGGGCAGACAAGGAAAUGAAAUGGUGAAUAGUCACAGUUGGCUUCAAUGUUUUGGUAAUAUCCUAGUAAUACGGGCAGAAGGCAGGGAAAUACUGUGUAGGAGAGGGCAGUUCCCAAGCCAUGGCCCCAUCCACAGGCCUGGGCCCAUGGCCCUAAAUGAGAACUUCACAUCCCUGUUUUCCCACUUGAGUGUUUUUUUUUUCAAAAACCACUCUGACCCACAACACCCCCUGCCUGUACCUAUAAAAACCCCAAAUUCCACUGGCAGAGGAGUGGAGUUGCAUGGCCGAGAAUGAGAGAAAAGAAGAGGCAGCUGGAAGGUUGGAAAUGGGGGAGGUUAUCUUCCCACUCCAUCCCCUUUCCAGUUUCCCAUCCCACUGAGGGCCACCUCCACCACUCAGUAAAACCGCUGCAUUCACCAUCCUCGAAGUCUAUAUGACCUGAUACUUCCCAGAUGCUGGACAAGAACCUAGGUACCAAGAGGGCAAGGUGUAAAAGGCUUUCACCCUGACUCUCCACUGAGCUACUUAACACUUAGACAUCUUGGAUGGCAACUGCUAAAAGAGCAUUAAUCAUAACACACCCCUAGAUGCUGCCAUGGGGCGAGAGCCCAAAGGCACUCACCCUGGCCCAGGCACCUGUUUGCCUGUGUGCUCCCCCUCCCACAAGGGGUUUGAGCACCCGGCCAGGUAAUCGAGCCACACCUCUGUCACAAGUCCUAUGAAGGGUCCAGGCAACUCUGCUAUCUCACUAGGUUUUAAGUACAGUUGUGGAUCCCACAAUCUUAAUGACUAAACUUACAACUUACAUAUGCGCUACAUGUAUUCGUUUAGUUGUAUCAAUAUUUACAUAAUUUUAAAACCUUGGUUGUACAAUAAUAAGGAUACAAAAAGGGUUAGGAGCCCUGGAAAUUGUUGGCAAAUAGGACUUUACAUUUUAAAAUAAAUGUAUUAAGAUGAAAAAUUUUUUUAAAUACACAUCUUUAAUGCAUCAUGCCAAUACUUCCUCUUAUUCAACAGUUCUUUGUUGUUACGUUUUCAGCCACCUCAAUUAAAUUUCAUAGAAAUUAAACACUGGGAGAUGAAGAAAGGGAUUUGGUUAUGUUUACUCUUCCAAAGCAAUCUGUCCUUUCACUAAAUACAUCUAUCUUGAAAACAUUUAAAUAGCCAAUUAUCAAACAAAUAAAAUAAUGACAAAUUACUAGUGGGCCCCCCCCCAAAAAACUAAAUUGAGUAUUCCAAAAGUAAUAUAUCUCCAAUAUGUAUAUUUAUAAAUUACAUAAUUUACAUACUAUGGUUUUGUAUAUGAGUAUAUAUCUCCAAUAUGUGUAUUUAUAAAUUACAUAAUGUACACACUAUGGUUUUUAUAUAUUAUAGACAUUUGAACCAUUUCAAAUUUAUAGGGAAUUUAACUUUAAAAACAUAUCUAAGUAGAAGUUAUAAUGUGUUCUUCCCAUACCCUAGUGGAAGGUUGUGUGCACCUCACGAGGCUCACACCCUUCACUUUGGAGAUUACCACUCCAAUUCACAAGAAUUGCAUUAAGAAGCAAGUAGCCCAAACUUGCUUAAAGGACUUGCUAUUAAUAUUCUGUUUGUAAAUCCACAUUGUUCAGUUAUCUAUUCAAUCUAUUUCUAUUAUUCUGAAGAAAUUAAUAUCUGUCUGAUUUAAAGUAGAUAACACCCAAUUCCUUCAACAACUCUGUUUACAAAUAGUGUAAAUGAGGAUUAAAGGCACCAUCUUAAGGUUUUACUUAUGUUCCAGGAACUCAACGAAAAAACAAACAAAAGACCAAAAAAAAUCACUUUUGUGAUACUGGUAAUUGAUUUUUUUAGCUUUCCAAGUAGAUAAAAUCAACACCUUAAAAGACUUGUCUUUAACCCGGGCUUUCUUUUAUUAAAGUGUACAAUUGCAGGCGCAUGCCUAGAGGAGUAAUAGCUGGCUCCUAACAAAAGAGCCUGGAUUCCACAAUAUGCCUUUUGCCAGAGGCAUCGUUCCCCAAAGCAUACAGCUAACUGCAUCUCCUGCUGUACCUGUAACAAUUUAAUUGUAUAAGUCAGCCUAGUCAAGCAUCUCCAGCUCGUGACUGGGAGACAUGAAAUUCAUUGUCAUUAUUGUCCCUGUCAUUUUGGAUCAUUAUAUCCGGCUGCAGAAUUUUCCUCACUUCAGUGCAUUUUUACCUCCAGGAGCCAGGGAUUAUAGCUGAGGUUGGGGUGGGGGCAGGACUGUGAACUACAUUUACCUCAGGGGAGCCAGAGAUUAAAUUGGCUUUGCUCUCUCACGAGCUGAAUUCAUCUAUUUGUAUGCUGUGAGUUUUAGGUUGGAAUAAAAAUGAAUAUUCUAGUGAAACCUGGGCUUUAAUUCCCCCUUUGAAACAUGGAUGUAACCAACUUUUAUUUACAUUAGGAAAAGGCAAUAUAAUUUCUUAUAGUUGCUCUUUUCAUAUGUGCAUAAGGAAUGCUUAGAAGCAUCAUCGGAUAUGAAACGACAGACAUCUCUGUCAAUGUCUUGACUCUCAGAAAGGAGAAAUUUAAAGCUGUAAUUUUGUUCUUCAGUUUUAUUUUACAAUGGCUUAAUGGAGGUAUUUAAUGGUUUUUAAUAUUUAAUGAUUUUUAAUUAUAGCUCAUUUUCUGUGUACUAGAUUGGAUGACUGGAGUCUAACUAGAAUAGCCACAAAGAUCCACUAUGGGAACAAAUAGAGGGGAAAAAAAAUAAGUCCCUGAGAAAACUGGCUACCCCUAACAGCUGGUUCACAUCAUCUCACAGCCUGUCAAGUCACCCAAGCAUACCAUGCCUUAAACACUUUCUUCUAACUUGAGAAAGUUGGCCUGGUCACCAUCCUCUCUACCUGGUAACUCCCUUAUCAGCAGUAACGGCCAGCUGUGGGUUUCUACUAGGCAAGUUCGAAAAUACUAGGACAUGUCUCAGUCAGAAAACCAGUGAGUUGACUAUAUGAUUACUCUAAUAGACUAUAAGAAGGAAAUACAACUGCAGGAAAAACUGGUAUGUCAUUUACUAUCCCAACUUUCAUUUCAUACGGAUUUCACUGAGAAGUUUGAGAUUCUGUCUGCAUUU